GACGAACGCUGGCGGCGUGCUUAACACAUGCAAGUCGAACGGACAGACCCUGCUCUUGUGCCGUGCACGAUUGCCGACGAGGUGAGUAACACGCGAGUAACCUGCACUUGUCUUUCGGAUAACUUCUGGAGACUGCGGAUCAUACAGGAUAGGAGCUCUUGCUCCGUGGUGUUGGAUGGAAAAAUUCGGCGGUGGUGGAUGGUAUGGCGGCUUAUCCGCUUGUUGGGCUAGUAGUUGAGUACGAAGGCUUUGACGGAUAGCCGGCAUGAGAGGGUGACCGGCCACAAUAGUACUGAGAUACGGCCCAGACGCCUACGUGAGGCAGCGGUGGGGAAUAUGACGCAAUGAGCGGAAGCCUGAUGCAGAAGCCCCGCGUGCGGAAUGACGGCCUUCGAGUUGUGAACCGCUGUCUCCUGAGACGAAGCGUGAGUGACGGUAAUGGGUAAGGAAGCACCGGCUAACUACGUG
rnacentral:rRNA from 1 species